AUUUCAAUUUUGAAAUCCAACCAUCUAUAAAAAUGUGUAGUAUCUGUUCUUAUCAGUUUAAUAUCUGAUACGUGGCCCGUCGGGUCACAUGAUAUUAAAUUAAUGUCUCGUAGAGGAUGGUCUACUACAGUAGCUUGCUGCUGGGAUCAUCGACCAUUGCCUUUGCGUUGUACUAUUGCAUUGGCCUGGGGCACCCCC